AAAUAAAAUAUAAAAAAAAAAGAAAAAGAAAGAAAAAGGGGGCUAGCAAAGUUGUUAGGAACUAAGUAAUGUUUUGAGGUUAUGGAAAAUCCCUUGUAGAUUUCAAAGAGAAGGAGUUAAAGUUCUUAGGAUCUUUUGGUGAGAGAUGUGAGUUGGGUUUGACAUUUGGGAAUGAUUGUGUAAUUGUAUGUUUGGGAAAAAGGUAGAACAAUGGAGAUUGA
rnacentral:lncRNA from 1 species